rnacentral:rRNA from 1 species
GAGAAAUCCCGUCGGAAUCUGGGAGGACCAUCUCCCAACCCUAAAUACUCCCUAGUGACCGAUAGUGAACCAGUACCGUGAGGGAAAGGUGAAAAGCACCCCGGGAGGGGAGUGAAAUAGAACCUGAAACCGUGUGCCUACAACAAGUUCGAGCCCGUUAAUGGGUGAGAGCGUGCCUUUUGUAGAAUGAACCGGCGAGUUACGUUAUGAUGCGAGGUUAAGUUGAAGAGACGGAGCCGUAGGGAAACCGAGUCUGAAUAGGGCGAAUUAGUAUCAUGACGUAGACCCGAAACCAUGUGACCUACCCAUGAGCAGGUUGAAGGUGCGGUAAGACGCACUGGAGGACCGAACCAGGGCACGUUAAAAAGUGCUUGGAUGACUUGUGGGUAGCGGAGAAAUUCCAAACGAACUUGGAGAUAGCUGGUUCUCUCCGAAAUAGCUUUAGGGCUAGCGUCGACAUAAAGAUUCUUGGAGGUAGAGCACUGUUUGGGUGAGGGGUCCAUCCCGGAUUACCAAUCUCAGAUAAACUCCGAAUGCCAAUGAAUUAUGGUCGGCAGUCAGACUGCGAGUGCUAAGAUCCGUAGUCGAAAGGGAAACAGCCCAGACCACCAGCUAAGGUCCCAAAAUAAUUGUUAAGUGGAAAAGGAUGUGGGGUUGCACAGACAACUAGGAUGUUAGCUUAGAAGCAGCUAUUCAUUCAAAGAGUGCGUAAUAGCUCACUAGUCGAGUGACCCUGCGCCGAAAAUGUACCGGGGCUAAAACAAUUUACCGAAGCUGUGGAUACCUUUAUAGGUAUGGUAGGAGAGCGUUCUAUGUGUGAAGAAGGUGUACCGUGAGGAGUGCUGGAACGCAUAGAAGUGAGAAUGCCGGUAUGAGUAGCGAAAGACAGGUGAGAAUCCUGUCCACCGUAAGACUAAGGUUUCCAGGGGAAGGCUCGUCCGCCCUGGGUUAGUCGGGACCUAAGGAGAGACCGAAAGGUGUAUCCGAUGGACAACAGGUUGAUAUUCCUGUACUAGAGUAUGUAGUGAUGGAGGGACGCAGUAGGCUAACUAAAGCAGACGAUUGGAAGAGUCUGUCUAAGCAGUGAGGUGUGAUAUGAGUCAAAUGCUUAUAUCUAUAACAUUGAGCUGUGAUGGGGAGCGAAGUUUAGUAGCGAAGUUAGUGACGUCACACUGCCAAGAAAAGCUUCUAGCGUUUAAACAUACUCUACCCGUACCGCAAACCGACACAGGUAGUCGAGGCGAGUAGCCUCAGGUGAGCGAGAGAACUCUCGUUAAGGAACUCGGCAAAAUGACCCCGUAACUUCGGGAGAAGGGGUGCUCUUUAGGGUGCAAGCCCAGAAGAGCCGCAGUGAAUAGGCCCAAGCGACUGUUUAUCAAAAACACAGGUCUCUGCUAAACCGUAAGGUGAUGUAUAGGGGCUGACGCCUGCCCGGUGCUGGAAGGUUAAGAGGAGUGGUUAGCUUCUGCGAAGCUACGAAUCGAAGCCCCAGUAAACGGCGGCCGUAACAAUAACGGUCCUAAGGUAGCGAAAUUCCUUGUCGGGUAAGUUCCGACCCGCACGAAAGGCGUAAUGAUUUGGGCAC